rnacentral:lncRNA from 1 species
CCACACAGAGCAUGCAUGCUCAGAUUGCAAAACCAACAAGGAGGAGAUGGAAUUCAGGAUAUAAAUGGUGGGUGUGGCUUGGAGUAGAGGAAGAAUAGGAGGAAGGAAGGCAAAGAUGGAUGAGGAUCUCCAGAACUUUUGGGAUGAAGAAAAAGGAAGCUGAGUUAGCUGAUAUGGUAUAUUCUGCUGAGAUCACCUGCCAAGGGUGAGGGGCUUGGGCUGAAGAAGCCUUUAGCUAAUCAAAACCUCCUGAAGUUUAAAGAGAUUGGAAUCCAGUUGGCAUGCUAUUAUCGCUUCAUCUCCGACUGAGGCAGCCAUUCAUGGUAACUCUCAGUCUUGAGGAUUCAACUUUGGCAGACAAGGGUCUCACAUUAACAACUGCAUUUUGCUAAAGUCAUGGUACAUGGGAACAAGGAGUUGUUGGCAGUAUGGCCCAAGAAAGACUUCAAGCUCCUUGAAGGAAGGCCACACAUCUCUCCGGUUCACCAGGAUGCCUGACAUGAGAAGAUUGCAAGCUUUUUCCGAUUCUGGCCCUCAACAUCAUUUCUUCAUGCUGCUCAUUCCUCCUUUUGUGUUUGGGGAGCCUUCUCCCAGCAGAGAUGACUAUGCUUCAUUCACUUCGAUGAUACAACAACUAAAUAGAAAACCAGAGAGAAAUCCAGACAAUCUUUUCUCCAAAGACGAUUGUCCCCCCAUGCUACCUCCACAAAAGGGAUUUUGCUAAAACAAUCUCUUUGACUAGAUCUGAUCAGCCAAAAUGAGAAGAGCCAAUUUCAGCAAGUUUAAAACAUGAUUUGUUCUUGGUACUUUUUAACUUUCCAUCUGUAUUUUUCAUUUUACUCAACUUCUCACCUGCUUUGAAUUUAUUUUAUCUUUCCAAAUUAUUCAUAUUUUUGUGAGCAACACAAUAAUUUCUGGCAUGAGGCAGGGAAUAAACAAAUGAACUAAAUAGCA